rnacentral:rRNA from 1 species
GUGGGGAAUAUUGGACAAUGGGCGCAAGCCUGAUCCAGCCAUGUCGCGUGAGUGAUGAAGGCCUUAGGGUUGUAAAGCUCUUUUGUCCGGGAAGAUAAUGACUGUACCGGAAGAAUAAGCCCCGGCUAACUUCGUGCCAGCAGCCGCGGUAAUACGAAGGGGGCUAGCGUUGUUCGGAAUCACUGGGCGUAAAGCGCACGUAGGCGGACCAUUAAGUCAGGGGUGAAAGCCUGGAGCUCAACUCCAGAACUGCCUUUGAUACUGAUGGUCUCGAGUAUGGAAGAGGUUGGUGGAACUGCGAGUGUAGAGGUGAAAUUCGUAGAUAUUCGCAAGAACACCGGUGGCGAAGGCGGCCAACUGGUCCAUUACUGACGCUGAGGUGCGAAAGCGUGGGGAGCAAACAGGAAUAGAAACCUGGUAGUCC